CUCCCUUUCCGUCCAACCCUCCUUUUCUCUCUAAGUCUUUCAUUUUUCAUCUUCACUUUUCUUCAUUGUGCUGUCCAAACAAGAGUGUAUUUCCACCAUAGUUAAGUCAUCCCUUUGAUAUAAUAUUUUUUGGUGUUUUGCUGCCAUUUUUCCAACCAUUAAUUCUACUACUUUGAUCACCAAAGCCGCCCCUCAUUGCUGCUAACUUGAUUUCCAAAAUUGUCCCUUUGCUGUAAAAAAAUCCCUCAUUGAGCCACCCCAAAUCAGCUUUUCUUGUCGCUGUUUGUGGUGGUGUGCCGUCCCAUUGUGCAUCACUUUUGGGCUGUUGUAUUUUUUUUGUUUUUGCCGCACCUUUACAGCAGUAUUUCCUUAAAAUUUUCCACUAUUUAAACAACCCCUUUACUUGGCUGAGUAGUGCUCAUUCAAUGUUGUUUAAGAUCACAUCUUGGAUCUCGGAAAUGAGAAGCGUAGAUGUGGAUUUUUAGUACUGAACUUAAUGUCCGGAUCAACAGUGACAAUUGGUCUUGUUCGCACUUUCGUUUCGUCUCAAAGCAGUGUAAGUUAACUUGUCGUUUCGAAUCUAAAAAAUUCGUUGAUAUGGCACUGUUUUGGCUGAACCUUAGUUAAUAGCUCACUUCCUUCAAAAUAUUUUUCUACUACCAAUUCACUUAAGUCUAUAUUUCAUAAAUAUUUGCUUGUACAGUUCCCAUGGAGACGAUAACUUGAUAUACUUAUUGCUUUAUUACUUGUUACGAUUGUGUACACUUGCACAUUUUCAUCGUUCCAAGUUUUUGGUGCCAUUGUCAGGGACUGUUAAAAAGACAUUAUUUGUGAAAUUAUUAAUUUUACAUUUUGGUUUAUUUUUC